rnacentral:tRNA from 1 species
GUCGCCAUAGCUCAAAGGUAGAGCAGAAUACUGUUAAUAUUUUGAUAGAUGUUCGAAUCAUCUUGGGGACU